rnacentral:rRNA from 1 species
ACAGUCUCAGUUCGGAUUGAAGGCUGAAAUUCGCCUUCAUGAAGCCGGAAUUGCUAGUAAUGGCAGGUCAGCAUACUGCCGUGAAUACGUUCCCGGGCCUUGUACACACCGCCCGUCAAGCCAUGGGAGUCGGGAGUGCCUGAAGUUCGUGACCGUAUAGGAGCGACCUAGGGCAAGACUGAUGACUGGGGCUAAGUCGUAACAAGGUAGC